AACGAACGCUGGCGGCAUGCCUAACACAUGCAAGUCGAACGAGACCUUCGGGUCUAGUGGCGCACGGGUGCGUAACGCGUGGGAAUCUGCCCUUGGGUUCGGAAUAACAGUUAGAAAUGACUGCUAAUACCGGAUAAUGUCUUCGGACCAAAGAUUUAUCGCCCAGGGAUGAGCCCGCGUAGGAUUAGCUAGUUGGUGAGGUAAAGGCUCACCAAGGCGACGAUCCUUAGCUGGUCUGAGAGGAUGAUCAGCCACACUGGGACUGAGACACGGCCCAGACUCCUACGGGAGGCAGCAGUGGGGAAUAUUGGACAAUGGGCGAAAAGCCUGAUCCAGCAAUGCCGCGUGAAGUGAUGAAGGCCUUAGGGUUGUAAAGCUCUUUUACCCGGGAUGAUAAUGACAGUACCGGGAGAAU
rnacentral:rRNA from 1 species